AGUGAACGCUGGCGGUAGGCCUAACACAUGCAAGUCGAACGGCAGCACAGGAGAGCUUGCUCUCUGGGUGGCGAGUGGCGGACGGGUGAGGAAUACAUCGGAAUCUACUCUGUCGUGGGGGAUAACGUAGGGAAACUUACGCUAAUACCGCAUACGACCUACGGGUGAAAGCAGGGGACCUUCGGGCCUUGCGCGAUUGAAUGAGCCGAUGUCGGAUUAGCUAGUUGGCGGGGUAAAGGCCCACCAAGGCGACCAUCCGUCACUGGUCUGAGAGGAUGAUCAGCCACACGGGAGCAGAGACACGGUCCGGACGCCUACGGGAGGCAGCAGUGGAGGAUAUUGGACAAUGGGCGCAAGCCUGAUCCAGCGAUACCGCGUGGGUGAAGAAGGCCUUCGGGUUGUAAAGCCCUUUUGUUGGGAAAGAAAUCCAGCUGGCUAAUACCCGGUUGGGAUGACGGUACCCAAAGAAUAAGCACCGGCUAACUUCGUGCCAGCCGCCGCCGUAG
rnacentral:rRNA from 1 species